GACGAACGCUGGCGGCGUGCUUAACACAUGCAAGUCGAACGGAAAGGCCUCUUUCGGGGGGUACUCGCGUGGCGAACGGGUGAGUAACACGUGAGUAAACUGCCCUUGUCUUUGGGAUAACUUAAGGAAACUGGGGCUAAUACCGGAUAGGAGCUCCUGCUGAACGGUGGGGGCUGGAAAGUUUCGGCGGUUGGGGGUGGCCUCGAGGGGUAUCGGCUUGGUGGUGGGGUAGUGGCUUACCAAGGCGUUGACGGGUAGGCGGCCCGAGGAGGUGACCGGCGACCCUGGGACCGAGGUACGGCCGAGACACCGACGGGUGGCAGCAGUGGGGAAGAUUGCACGAGGGGUGGAGGCCGGGUGCAGCAGCUCCGCGGGCGGGAAGACGGCCUUCUGGGUGUAGACCGCUUUCGCUCAUGACGAAGCUUUGUUUGACGGUAGUUAGUAAAGAAGCACCGGCUAACUACGUG
rnacentral:rRNA from 1 species